GAUGAACGCUGGCGGCGUGCCUAAUACAUGCAAGUCGAGCGAACGGACGAGAAGCUUGCUUCUCUGAUGUUAGCGGCGGACGGGUGAGUAACACGUGGAUAACCUACCUAUAAGACUGGGAUAACUUCGGGAAACCGGAGCUAAUACCGGAUGAUAUUUUGAACCGCAUGGUUCAAAAGUGAAAGACGGUCUUGCUGUCACUUAUAGAUGGAUCCGCGCUGCAUUAGCUAGUUGGUAAGGUAACGGCUUACCAAGGCAACGAUGCAUAGCCGACCUGAGAGGGUGAUCGGCCACACUGGAACUGAGACACGGUCCAGACUCCUACGGGAGGCAGCAGUAGGGAAUCUUCCGCAAUGGGCGAAAGCCUGACGGAGCAACACCGCGUGAGUGAUGAAGGUCUUCGGAUCGUAAAACUCUGUUAUUCGGGAAGAACAUAUGUGUAAGUAACUGUGCACAUCUUGACGGUACCUAAUCAGAAAGCCACGGCUAACUACGUG
rnacentral:rRNA from 1 species